rnacentral:siRNA from 1 species
AUAGAGAACAAUGAAGGACUGCCU